rnacentral:rRNA from 1 species
UACGGAGGGGGCUAGCGUUAUUCGGAAUUACUGGGCGUAAAGCGCACGUAGGCGGAUUGGAAAGUUGGGGGUGAAAUCCCAGGGCUCAACCCUGGAACUGCCUCCAAAACUUCCAGUCUUGAGGUCGAGAGAGGUGAGUGGAAUUCCGAGUGUAGAGGUGAAAUUCGUAGAUAUUCGGAGGAACACCAGUGGCGAAGGCGGCUCACUGGCUCGAUACUGACGCUGAGGUGCGAAAGCGUGGGGAGCAAACAGG